GCGAGAGUGGCGGAACUGGCAGACGCGCCAGACUUAGGAUCUGGUGGCCCAUUAUCGGCCGUGGGGGUUCAAGUCCCCCCUCUCGCA
rnacentral:tRNA from 1 species